GCCAUUACAGCAUAGCAAGAGAAUACAGCCAAAUACAUCUUCACAUCACCCCCCCCCCCUACUAAAUGUACAAAGGGGAAAAAAGACAAAAAAACAAAAGAAUUCUCAUCGGUCAAGGCCACGGCGCCAAACCCAAUGGAAGGGAAAGUAAAAACGCCGAUAGUGAUGGCGACAACAGCAUCAACGUUAGCCACUAACAAAAGUCCCGAGACUGAAAGCACUUCUGUCCUUGGCCCAUGGCAUGUGGUUCGGCUCUCCUGGUCUGCCGCUGGUAUCCUUACCUUGAUAUACCAAGCAUGUUGGAGAAAGUAACAUUUCCUAACAUGCCUCUCAAAUUUAUAAAUCAUCUGGACCCCCUGUCAAAUUCAAACUCAUAAUAAAUAACACUUGUAAAUAAAAUGUCAGUCACUAAGUUACAUAGAAUGCAUUGCGAAAAUUCCUGAGGAUAAUCAUGAAAAUCUUUGAAAAUCAAAUCCGGUGCAAAAUAUUUAAUGAUUACCAAUUAAUUGUAUAGAGAAGUUGCAACUAUCUAAAAGCACAUCUUCUCGUAAAGUUCUGUAGACGUAAAUUAAAAUGUAUCACUUAAAAAUCAAAAUUAAGUCAAGAAUUUAAAUAAGAAUGGUCGUGUGUAAAACAUUACCCAAAUUUUAGCUUGGUUGGAAUAUAUAUUUUUUUCAUCUUAUAAAAUGGUAUAACUCGGUUCUAUCCUCAAAGCAUAGAUUCAUUUGAGUUGUUUAUUUGCUAUUCAAUUUUUUCCCCAAAAAAUUACCUUUACUGCUCCCAAUCUGAUACAAUUUUCUCCUAAGAAUUUUUCUUAUAUUUUAGCGAUAACAGGAAAUAGUGAAGUGCAAUGCCAGUAACAAUGCACCAUCUAUUUUAUUUUUUAGUCAACAAUGAAGAUCAUUAGACUAGGAUGAAGAUGUGCUUUACUGACUUCUAAUUUUAAAGAAAAGAAAAAAAUCCUUCAUAAGAAUAUAUUUAGAUUUUCUAUAUUGAAAGUACACAUAAAUUCAUUUUUAUGUAGACUGUUUUAUUGGAUGAAUUUACCUUCUUCCUAAUGUCCAAAACCUUUACAAAAGUUAAAUGGCAAAUGGCAGGAAAUACAUGCUAUAAAUAAAUGUUCAAUUACUCCAAAGUCAUUGAUAGAAGUUUUGAUGUAAUCCAUAACAGUGUGAAAAUCAGUUUUAUUACAAAGGCUGUGUUUUGCAUUGUUUUAUUUUAUCGUAUUAGUUACAAUGUGUUGCCUUAAUUUAUAGAUUUCUUUCAUGAACAUCAACAGCUGUUCCAUUUUCUUAUUCCCUAAAAUACUGAAAUUGAAUUCACAUAUCCAAAAUAUUUUUCCAAGAUACAAUAUCUUGAUUUGAACAUAUAUUGACAAAUAUUUUGGAAUUAAUUCAUACCUAUUUUGUAAUUCUCGGCUGUGAACUGUCCAGGUGAGUGUACAGUUCUGUGCAAGAUGCAACAUUCUCACGAAAUUUACUAAAACUGCAAUAAGAGGUGGUAACAUAAGCUUGCAGCAGCAAUUAACGAAAUUAUACAAUACUAAGAGUUUUAGCCAUGAGGACACUGUGAUCCACAGUGAGCAGUUCAUAUUAGAAAUUUUAAUUCAUGGCAUACUUUGAACAUCUUUAAUUGAAAAAUAAAAUUAAUCUAACUAGGCAAGUAUGUUUAAAACAUCUUGAAAUCUUCUUGGGUAAUUUCUUUGAAUUAUUAUAUAUAAGGAACUUAAUUAUUCACUAUGCAUAUAUGGAACUUACACAUCAGUUAAAUGAUAAGUAGAAUUAAAUAUCGAUUAAGUAAUAAGCAGAAUUAUACAUCAAUCAAAUAGUAAUCAGAAUCUUCAAAGCAAUGUACAUUACAAAGUUGAAUUUCUUAAAAAGUAAUUGAAUUUAAGAGAACUGUAGUCUAUGUAGUUCAUAUAAAAAUGAUUUAUAAUCAAUCAUUCUUUAUACAGCACUCUCUAAGAGGGUACACCUAAGAAUAUAUAUAACCUUAUACAAGAAUACACCAACACAUACACAUACAUCAUCCAAAGAGUCAUUCAUAUUAUAUCAACUGCAGAUUAAAGUCUUAUGUUUGUGGUUAUAACAACCACCUUUAAAGAUCAUUAGAGCACUAGCCAAUUUCUGCCAGGAAAUCAUAACCAAAGUUGUAUAACAGAAUAUCAUAUCUUCUGUGAUGUAUUAUCUAUCCAAGAGAAUAUUGCAUUACAAUAUUUUCAAGCAAAUUUAAGUAUAGAUUCUAAAAAUAAAGCUGGAAACUUGACUACAAUUUUAUUAAAGGCUAUGUCUCUUAACCCACACUGGAUGGGUGGUACAGUACUGUACCUCUCAUUCAAAAGCCCAGCGGCCGGGCAGCAUAGUAUUGUGCCAGCCAUUCAAUUGAUUUAGGCCUAAUAAUUCGAACGCCCCGGCAUUGGGACAUUCAAGGCUAGAAUUCCCCCGUCGUGGAUGGGUUAAUAGCUAAACGAUUGCAGUCUGGAUUUGUUUUUGUCAACCUUUAAGAUUUGAAGUUGGGAAUCAAUCAGAACUCCUGAACUAUCUAUGAGGAUAUAAUAUUUGAUAAUUUUCUUUAAAAGUUUAUUGUGAUUAGAGGCUACUUUGAGGUUUCACAUGGUAAGCUGUACCUGCGAGCUACACUUGAUUAGCCUUGUUCUAUGAAACCAAAAUAUCAUACACUUCAUGCAUGUACUACAAACAGCAGUCAUAUAUAUAAAUAAGGGGGAAAAACAUCACAUGCACACACUCCUUCACUCUUACACAUACACACUUAAAUAGCAAGAACAUACACACAUGUAUACACAGAGUUAUAGAUCUGUAGAUACUUCCUUUUGAUAACAAUACACUAUUAUGGCAAUUGAAGUGUAGAAUCUAUCAUGGAGAGGUAUAAAAAUAUUAAUCAGACCUAUAAAGGUCAGAAACACCGUAGAAACAAUUACAUCCAUCCAAGAUUUAAAAUAUGUGCCAAGUGGCUAGUGGUAAAACCUUUAGCAUUGUCUUUACACUACCUGUGCAGAAUACACAUUUAAUGCCUAUACUAAUGGUUAAAUUACAGAAUUCAAUGACAUUUAAUGCAGUAGCUGCAAUGGUUAAGGCCUCUCACUUCUGCCUAUCCACCUGUUUCCAUUCAGUCCCUCAUUAACAGUCUACUUACAGGUUAUAUCUUGGUGGUUCACUUACCUCCUUCCCUUUGUCUCAUUAUAUUCAUCACCAGAAAUAUUUGGAUAUGCCAUAAAAGUUCAGUCAAGACAGCAUUUAGCGUGCAGUAAUUGCCUUUUUCUUAUUGUGAUACCUAGUUAAUGGCAUAGCAAUAUCUAGUAAAGGAAUAAAUAUAAAUCUAUAUCUAUUCUGUUUGUUAAAUCCUGCAUAACAGUGGUAGAAAAAAAACUAAGUUUCAAUCUAAUGUUAAACUAAUGGAAUGGAAAGGUGUGUUUGUAAAGGAUUCAAUUCAGUCAUCCUAGCAUCCCAACAUAAACUUGCUCUCUCUAUGCUUUACUUUUUUUAAAGAAGAGUAUUACCCAAAGUUUUUAAAAAGUAAUCUUUUUCCUAUAUACAUUAAGUUUUAUAUAUAUAUUGGACUCACAAUGAAAUACAUGAAAAAAAAAUGAUGUAACAGAUUACAUUCAUUCUUCUAUCAACUUUUCUUCUUUGAUCUUAUCUUUAAUCGCUCUCUUAACACUUGCGAUUAUCUUUUGUAAAGGAAAGGAGAGGAAAGAAAAAAUAGUAAAAGAAGAAGACUGCUAUAUAUAACAUUUCCUUUUUCUUUUUCUUCAAUAAUUGAUAACAUUGUUUCAUCAAUCAUUCUUACUCACAUUGUCACUCGUGUCCAAGAAAUCAAAUGUGAACAUGCUAGAUGUGGUAUUAAACGAGACCAGUCA
rnacentral:lncRNA from 1 species